UGAGGAAUAUUGGUCAAUGGGCGGAAGCCUGAACCAGCCAUGCCGCGUGCGGGAAGAAGGCCCUACGGGUUGUAAACCGCUUUUCCCCGGGAAGAAUAACCCCGACGCGUCGGGGGAUGCCGGUACCGGGGGAAUAAGGAUCGGCUAACUCCGUG
rnacentral:rRNA from 1 species